rnacentral:rRNA from 1 species
UACGGGGGGGGUAAGCGUUGUUCGGAAUUACUGGGCGUAAAGGGCUCGUAGGCGGUCAACUAAGUCAUACGUGAAAUCCCUCAGCUUAACUGGGGAACUGCGUGUGAUACUGGAUGGCUUGGAUUUGGGAGAGGGAUGCGGAAUUCCAGGUGUAGCGGUGAAAUGCGUAGAUAUCUGGAGGAACACCGGUGGCGAAGGCGGCAUCCUGGACCAAUAUUGACGCUGAGGAGCGAAAGCCAGGGGAGCAAACGGG